rnacentral:rRNA from 1 species
AACGAACGCUGGCGGCGCGCUUAACACAUGCAAGUCGAACGAGAAGGCGUAGCAAUACGCUUGUACAGUGGCGAACGGGUGAGUAAUACGUGGGCGACCUACCCUCGAGUGGGGAAUAACCCGCCGAAAGGCGGGCUAAUGCCGCGUACGCUUCCAUCUUUAUGGAGGUGGAAGGAAAGCCGUGCCGUGGCGACGGCGCUCAAGGAUGGGCUCACGUCCUAUCAGCUUGUUGGAGGGUAACGG